GAAACCCGGUGAUCUAGCCAUGGGCAGGUUGAAGGUUGGGUAACACUAACUGGAGGACCGAACCGACUAAUGUUGAAAAAUUAGCGGAUGACUUGUGGCUGGGGGUGAAAGGCCAAUCAAACCGGGAGAUAGCUGGUUCUCCCCGAAAGCUAUUUAGGUAGCGCCUCGUGAAUUCAUCUCCGGGGGUAGAGCACUGUUUCGGCAAGGGGGUCAUCCCGACUUACCAACCCGAUGCAAACUGCGAAUACCGGAGAAUGUUAUCACGGGAGACACACGGCGGGUGCUAACGUCCGUCGUGAAGAGGGAAACAACCCAGACCGCCAGCUAAGGUCCCAAAGUCAUGGUUAAGUGGGAAACGAUGUGGGAAGGCCCAGACAGCCAGGAUGUUGGCUUAGAAGCAGCCAUCAUUUAAAGAAAGCGUAAUAGCUCACUGGUCGAGUCGGCCUGCGCGGAAGAUGUAACGGGGCUAAACCAUGCACCGAAGCUGCGGCAGCGACACUAUGUGUUGUUGGGUAGGGGAGCGUUCUGUAAGCCUGUGAAGGUGGCCUGUGAGGGUUGCUGGAGGUAUCAGAAGUGCGAAUGCUGACAUAAGUAACGAUAAAGCGGGUGAAAAGCCCGCUCGCCGGAAGACCAAGGGUUCCUGUCCAACGUUAAUCGGGGCAGGGUGAGUCGACCCCUAAGGCGAGGCCGAAAGGCGUAGUCGAUGGGAAACAGGUUAAUAUUCCUGUACUUGGUGUUACUGCGAAGGGGGGACGGAGAAGGCUAUGUUGGCCGGGCGACGGUUGUCCCGGUUUAAGCGUGUAGGCUGGUUUUCCAGGCAAAUCCGGAAAACCAAGGCUGAGGCGUGAUGACGAGGCACUACGGUGCUGAAGCGACAAAUGCCCUGCUUCCAGGAAAAGCCUCUAAGCAUCAGGUAACAUCAAAUCGUACCCCAAACCGACACAGGUGGUCAGGUAGAGAAUACCAAGGCGCUUGAGAGAACUCGGGUGAAGGAACUAGGCAAAAUGGUGCCGUAACUUCGGGAGAAGGCACGCUGAUAUGUAGGUGAAGCGACUUGCUCGUGGAGCUGAAAUCAGUCGAAGAUACCAGCUGGCUGCAACUGUUUAUUAAAAACACAGCACUGUGCAAACACGAAAGUGGACGUAUACGGUGUGACGCCUGCCCGGUGCCGGAAGGUUAAUUGAUGGGGUUAGCGGUAACGCGAAGCUCUUGAUCGAAGCCCCGGUAAACGGCGGCCGUAACUAUAACGGUCCUAAGGUAGCGAAAUUCCUUGUCGGGUAAGUUCCGACCUGCACGAAUGGCGUAAUGAUGGCCAGGCUGUCUCCACCCGAGACUCAGUGAAAUUGA
rnacentral:rRNA from 1 species